UACGGAGGAGGCAAGCGUUAUCCGGAAUUAUUGGGCGUAAAGCGUGCGCAGGCGGUUCGUUGUGUCGGCGGUGAAAGCCCCGGGCUUAACCUGGGAAUGGCCGUUGAAACUGGCGAACUGGAGUGUGGCAGAGGGGGGUGGAAUUCCGCGUGUAGCAGUGAAAUGCGUAGAGAUGCGGAGGAACACCGAUGGCGAAGGCAGCCCCCUGGGCUGACACUGACGCUCAGGCACGAAAGCGUGGGGAGCAAACAGG
rnacentral:rRNA from 1 species